CUUAGUCUCUCUAUCUCUGUGUGUGUUACUUGUUAGGGUUACUUGUUAGGGUUAAGAUAUCACAGGGCUAGGAGUUCUUAGGGUUACCUAAAGGUGGUGUUUACUUAGUAGUGGGGGUGGAGUCAGCUAGGGCUGGGAGGGGCCCCACAUUCCUUCCUUUGACUCACAUCCAGUGUGACAGUUGGAAGCCUACACUACAUAUGAGGUGUAGGCCCGAGAGCAUAGCGGACAGAGCAUAGCGGACAGGGAUAGCCAACAGGACAUAGGAGUUUUUCAGGAGUUUAGCGGGAAGUGUGCGGGGGAGCCUGGAACAAGCCCCCGCAAUCACAAGGAUCACAAGGAGCCUGGUAGAGAAGAGAACGCCACAAAUGCUCCCAACCCAUCAACAUGGCCAUCCAGAAUUGUGCAGCAGUGAAGAUAUGCUACAGCCUGAUAAAAGAGUGGCCGACCAACAAGCAAUUCUGUCUCUUCUCCCAUGCAUCAAUCAUAAAUAGAAACAGGAAAGCUGGACUUCAUUCUUUUCCUACCUCUUUCUGUUACUUCCACUCUCUGCCCUGACUGCUUUACAUCUGACAGAUCCCAGGGAUGACUAGUUUUAAAUAUCACUUAUACCCAUAGGCAGAGAGAGAACAACAAUAAUAAAAGAAGAAGAAACUGGGUCAUAUAUAUGCUUUGAUUGAAACUGGUAGGGACACUGCAUUAAAUGGCAGCCCUAUAUAAAGCUGGAACACAGUGCUGUCCUCUUCACUUGCACAUAGCUGUCUAUUCUAUUUUUACUAGGAGCCUGUGAAGCAAAGAAAGAAAUUGGUCAUGUUAUUCUUCAGGAAUCAAAUGGAGUUUUAUCACAUGCCUCAGUAGUGAUUAUUGGGGUCAAUGGAUUCUAAUCCUUCCCACCCCAUGUUACUGGCCAAAGUUUUUCUUCUUCCAAAGGAUCAGAUGAUCCCAUCGAGUGAGAGAUUUCAGACGUGAUGGUCUGGUAUUAGAGGCAAAAUGGUCUGGAAGUUGGUACUGGCUCAGCUUCAGUUUACACAUUCUAUGAAUUAAAAGAUCACGUGAUCUGAAUUUUGAAACGAUUAUAUUGCAUUUCAGAGACAUUUAAUAUACUGCCCACUCCGAAGACUCUGGGCGGUGUACAACAGGCGGCAAACAGGCAACAUUAAAAAUUACAUUACAUUAAUAAUUAAAAAUUAUUAAAGAACUAAAGUAACUACCAGAAAACAGAAAAAUGAACUACAGGGCAAAGGCCUGGCGAAAAAGAAAAGUCUUCAAUAGCAAUUUGAAGAUCGGUAAGGAAGGUGCUAGCCAGAUCUGUGGGGGUGGGGAGUUCCAAAGGAGUGGGGCAGCAACCGAAAAGGCCCUUUUGAAAGGAAGCUUCCAGGCCCUUUACUCCAGUCAUUUUCAAACUUUAUAAAACUGUGCCAUUGCUUCUAAACUGAUUGGAUGGCUGUGUUGACCACAUAGUGACAACCUGCUUGGAUUGCAGACAUUAUUAUGAGUCAUCUUGGUAGUCUGUUAGAGAGUGUGAGUUAGUGGUUAUAGCAGAAAUGUAUUAAGAGUGAGUGUGGUCCUUUGGUCAGCUUCAUUUUUGCUCCCCCUGGAUCCAAUCCCUAUUGGAAGAACCCAAAUGAGGUAUCUAAAUAAAAUGAGUUAUCUGCCUUUA